AUGUCACCCUCUCGCCUUCUGAUGCAGCCGCUGGUAGGUGUGAUUUCUAGGUUUUGUGGUUGUUGUGGUCGUCUCUGGUGGGCUGCUGUUGUAGUUUGUAGAUGCAGCGGGGUUUCCCCUUGUUUCUGUAGAUGUAGCGUGGGGGUUUCUAUAGAUGUAUCAGUAGCCUGCGGGAUUUCUCUUGCUUAUGUUCUGCUCAUGUGCCUGUACGCGAGGAUUAUGUAG
rnacentral:rRNA from 1 species